GAAAGUUGGGGAGACCUGACGCUGAAAGAUGGACUCGCGUCCCAUUAGCUAGUUGGUAGGGUAAUGGCCUACCAAGGCGACGAUGGGUAGCCGGCCUGAGAGGGUGGCCGGCCACACUGGGACUGAGACACGGCCCAGACUCCUACGGGAGGCAGCAGUGGGGAAUUUUGCGCAAUGCUCGUAAGAGUGACGCAGCGACGCCGCGUGAAUGACGAAGGCCUUCGGGUCGUAAAGUUCUUUCGACAGGGAAGAAAAUGCCUAUAAGUAACUGUGUAUGUAUUGACGGUACCUGUAUAAGCAGCCCCGGCUAACUCCGUGCCAGCAGCCGCGGUAAUACGGAGGGGGCGAGCGUUGUUCGGAGUGACUGGGCGUAAAGAGCACGUAGGCGGUGUUGUAAGUCAUUAGUCAAAGACUAGAGCUCAACUUUAGUAAGGCUAGUGAUACUAUAAUACUAGAGUAUCAGAGAGGAUUGCAGAAUUCCUGGUGUAGCGGUGAAAUGCGUAGAUAUCAGGAGGAAUACCGUUAGCGAAGGCGGCAAUCUGGCUGGAAACUGACGCUGAGGUGCGAAAGCGUGGGUAGCAAACAGGAUUAGAUACCCUGGUAGUCCACGCUGUAAACGAUGGAUGCUAGGUGUUGGGCUUUUAAGUUCA
rnacentral:rRNA from 1 species